rnacentral:rRNA from 1 species
CCUACGGGAGGCAGCAGUGAGGAAUAUUGGACAAUGGGCGCAAGCCUGAUCCGGCCAUGCCGCGUGCAGGAUGACGGUCCUAUGGAUUGUAAACUGUUUUUAUACGAGAAGAAACACCCCUACGUGUAGGGACUUGACGGUAUCGUAAGAAUAAGGAUCGGCUAACUCCGUGCCAGCAGCCGCGGUAAUACGGAGGAUCCAAGCGUUAUCCGGAAUCAUUGGGUUUAAAGGGUCCGUAGGCGGUUUAGUAAGUCAGUGGUGAAAUCUCCCCGCUCAACGGGGAAACGGCCAUUGAUACUGCUAGACUUGAAUUAUUAGGAAGUAACUAGAAUAUGUAGUGUAGCGGUGAAAUGCUUAGAGAUUACAUGGAAUACCAAUUGCGAAGGCAGGUUACUACUAAUGGAUUGACGCUGAUGGACGAAAGCGUGGGGUAGCGAACAGGAUUAGAUACCCUGGUAGUCCACGCCGUAAACGAUGGAUACUAGCUGUUGGGUGCAAACUCAGUGGCUAAGCGAAAGUGAUAAGUAUCCCACCUGGGGGAGGUACGUUCGCGAGAAGAGUAAACGUACUAAAUUAGUUAAGUUAGUUACGGCGUGAGGACGUUGCCGAACGGACGACCGACCGAGGGGAGGUUAGG